UACGGGGGGGGCAAGCGUUGUUCGGAAUUACUGGGCGUAAAGGGCUCGUAGGCGGCCAACUAAGUCAGACGUGAAAUCCCUCGGCUUAACCGGGGAACUGCGUCUGAUACUGGAUGGCUUGAGGUUGGGAGAGGGAUGCGGAAUUCCAGGUGUAGCGGUGAAAUUCGUAGAUAUUGGGAAGAACACCGAUGGCGAAGGCAGCCAUCUGGACCGACACUGACGCUGAGGCGCGAAAGCGUGGGGAGCAAACAGG
rnacentral:rRNA from 1 species